rnacentral:rRNA from 1 species
GAUGAACGCUGGCGGCGUGCCUAAUACAUGCAAGUCGAGCGAACAGACGAGGAGCUUGCUCCUCUGACGUUAGCGGCGGACGGGUGAGUAACACGUGGAUAACCUACCUAUAAGACUGGGAUAACUUCGGGAAACCGGAGCUAAUACCGGAUAAUAUAUUGAACCGCAUGGUUCAAUAGUGAAAGACGGUUUUGCUGUCACUUAUAGAUGGAUCCGCGCCGCAUUAGCUAGUUGGUAAGGUAACGGCUUACCAAGGCAACGAUGCGUAGCCGACCUGAGAGGGUGAUCGGCCACACUGGAACUGAGACACGGUCCAGACUCCUACGGGAGGCAGCAGUAGGGAAUCUUCCGCAAUGGGCGAAAGCCUGGCGGAGCAACGCCGCGUGAGUGAUGAAGGUCUUCGGAUCGUAAAACUCUGUUAUUAGGGAAGAACAAAUGUGUAAGUAACUAUGCACGUCUUGACGGUACCUAACCAGAAAGCCACGGCUAACUACGUG